CAAUAAUAAUGAAUUAUAAUAAUAGAACAAUAACAAAGGAACUAAAUUUUGUUGAAUUUAAUAAAGCUUUAGCUAAAAGUUUUAAUAACAGCUUUCCACCGUCCGCCAUUGUUUGUGGCGUCCUGACGCUAGAUUUGGCUUCAAAAUGCCGUUCCCUAAAGAAAAUAACAAUAGACUUAUUGUUUCGUAUAGUUUGAUCUAUGGAGUGAUCAGUGAUAAUGUUGAGAGAUCAAGGAAAUGAGGACCCUAAAAAUCAAGAGCCUUAUAAGACGCGAGGGUCCAUUGACAUCGUCGCUCUUAAAAAGCAACUCUCUCCUGAAGAGUUUUUCAUUGCUAGCUUAUUGACCAACAUUCCAACUGAAAGUGUAUCUACAGUUGACGAUCUCAAUAGCAAUAAGGUUGGUGUUGAACAAGAAGAAUGUCUAGCAGCUAACACCACACACUUAACAGGGAAAAGGCUGGAUUUGUCUGAUAGGACAAUGAAAACCAAACUUAAAAGGAGUUAGAAAAAUUGCAGAAGAAGAAAUUAAAAAAGAAAAAUAACAAGAAGUGGUCCUGAAUUGCCAAACUUGCACAAGCCACCGAGGCAGCAUCAGUGUCAUCAACCUCUGAUCCGACAGAGUUUGUCAAAACAGGUAUUCCUGAACCAAGACCAACAAGUACACUGCUAACACAAAUUUUCAACAGUGAAGGCUGCCUAGUAUUCAACAAAUUUGAUUUAGGAGAACUAUCUUAUCCCUCACCCAUUCUGAACAAGACCACUUUAGAUUCAAAAGUGGCAACGAUAAAAAAAAACUCAAAGCCAAAGUGAAAAUCUUGGAUGGCCAAACUGAAGUUGAAUGCGAGAAGUAUUGAAGAGAAACAGGCGUGAAAAGGUGCUCUGCAAAGAGCAGAAGGUUUUCAGGUGAAAAACAAUGUGGAAUUGCUUGCUAAAUCUAUUAAGAAACAAGAUGAAAUCAAAUCAAAUUGUAAAAGAAGUUGGCUGAACGCAUCGAAGAAUAGGAAAAGAGAAAGAAAUAACAACAGAAAACGAGAAAAGCAAACACUAAGAAAAAGAAAACUGAAAAUAAAGAACAUAAACCGAAUGAACACCUCACACUUAACAGGGAAAAAGCUGGAAUUGUCUGAUAAGACAACGAAAAUCAAACUUAAACGGAAGUUAGAGGGAAUGAACAAGAAAUUAAAAAGGAAAAGUUAGAAGAAGAGGUCCUGAAUUGCCAAACAUGCUCGAGCCACCAAGGCAGCAUCUGUGUCAUCAACCUCUGGUCUUUCAGAGUUUGUUAAAACAGAAAUUCCUGAAGCAAGACUAGCAAGUACACUGGCAACACCAAUUUUUAACAGUGGAGGCUGCCUAGUUUCCGGCAAAUUUGACUUUGGAGAACUAUCUAAUUCCUCACCCAUUCUGAAUAAGACCACUUUAGAUCCAGAAGUGGCAACGAUUAAAAUGAAAGAAAAUAAAACUUAAACCAAAAAUGAAAAUCUUGGUAGGCCAAGCUGAAGUUGAAAAUGCAAGAAGUAUUGAAGAGAAACAGGCACGAAAUGGUGCUCUGCAAAUAGCUGAAGGUUUUCAGGUAAAAGACUAUGUGGAAUUGCUUGCCCAACCGAAUAAUGAACGAGAUCAAAUCAAAUCAGAGAGUAACAAAAAUUGCGCUGAACGAAUCGAAGAAAAGGAAAAGAGAAGGGAAUAACAACAGAAAAGGAGAAAAGCCAACAUUAAGAAAAAGAAAACUGAAAAGAAAGAACAUAAAGUGAAUAAACUAAAGAAAAAAGGCAAAUUUAUCGCAUGAAAAACUGAUACUGACUGAUGGAUCAGCUAAACUUGUGUUCUUUCAUGUGCAGCCAUGUCGUGAUAGUUUUUUAGAAAAAUACACUGAUAUGCCUUCCAUGA